UACCAGUGUCCAAAGUUUGGAAAUCCGACGCAAGCAAAGCUUGCACGAGGAUUUUUAAAUUUUGGACACGCCAAAACAUGAGUAAGUAGCCAUUUUUCGAAGAAAAAUGAGCGGAGUACGAAUGUUUUGAAGAUUGCGGGAGUACGAAGUACGGAGCAAUCUGGU
rnacentral:sRNA from 1 species